GUUUCGGUGCGGGCUGGGAGACCGGUACCAAAUCGAGACAAACUCAGAAUACCCGAUGGACACAUUGCCAGUGAGACGGUGGGGGAUAAGCUUCAUCGUCAAGAGGGAAACAGCCCAGACCACCAGCUAAGGUCCCCAAAUCAUCGCUAAGUGAUAAAGGAGGUGAGAUUGCCUAGACAACUAGGAGGUUUGCCUAGAAGCAGCCACCCUUGAAAGAGUGCGUAAUAGCUCACUAGUCAAGCGAUCUUGCGCCGAAAAUGAACGGGGCUAAGCGAUGUACCGAAGCUGUGGGAUUAACUAAACAUUAAUCGGUAGGGGAGCGUUCCGUAGUAGGAAGAAGCAGUAGCGGCAAGCAGCUGUGGACGAGACGGAAGUGAGAAUGUCGGCUUGAGUAGCGCAAACAUUGGUGAGAAUCCAAUGCCCCGAAACCCUAAGGGUUCCAGAGCCAGGUUCGUCCACUCUGGGUUAGUCGGGACCUAAGGCGAGGCCGAAAGGCGUAGUCGAUGGACACAGGGUCAACAAUCCCUGACUAUGGUAUGGGAGCAUUGCUAGGGACGCAUGAAAGAUAGCUACGCCCUGAUUGGUUUGGGAGGAGUUUACGAACUCCGAGUAGUGAAGGAUAGUGUCAAGAAAAGCUAGUAAUGUGAUGAACAUAUCGUACCCGUACCCGAAACCGACACAGGUAGGGAGGUUGAGAAUACCAAGGGGCGCGAGAUAACUCUCUCUAAGGAACUCGGCAAAAUGGCCCCGUAACUUCGGGGAGAA
rnacentral:rRNA from 1 species